GACGAACGCUGGCGGCAUGCUUAACACAUGCAAGUCGAACGGAAAGGCCCUGCUUUUGUGGGGUGCUCGAGUGGCGAACGGGUGAGUAACACGUGAGUAACCUGCCCUUGACUUUGGGAUAACUUCAGGAAACUGGGGCUAAUACCGGAUAGGAGCUCCUGCUGCCUGGUGGGGGUUGGAAAGUUUCGGCGGUUGGGGAUGGACUCGCGGCUUAUCAGCUUGUUGGUGGGGUAGUGGCUUACCAAGGCUUUGACGGGUAGCCGGCCUGAGAGGGUGACCGGCCACAUUGGGACUGAGAUACGGCCCAGACUCCUACGGGAGGCAGCAGUGGGGAAUAUUGCACAAUGGGCGGAAGCCUGAUGCAGCAACGCCGCGUGCGGGAUGACGGCCUUCGGGUUGUAAACCGCUUUCGCCUGUGACGAAGCGUGAGUGACGGUAAUGGGUAAAGAAGCACCGGCUAACUACGUG
rnacentral:rRNA from 1 species